rnacentral:rRNA from 1 species
UACAGAGGUCUCAAGCGUUAUCCGGAAUUAUUGGGCGUAAAGCGUCCGCAGGUGGCUAUUCAAGUCUGCGGUCAAAGACUGGGGCUUAACCCUGGAAAGGCCGUGGAAACUGAAGAGCUAGAGUGCAGUAGGGGUAGAGGGAAUUCCCGGUGUAGCGGUGAAAUGCGUAGAGCUCGGGAAGAACAUCGGUGGCGAAAGCGCUCUGCUGGACUGCAACUGACACUCAGGGACGAAAGCUAGGGGAGCGAAUGGG